CAGGAAGUCACAUGGAAAAAAAAAAGGGGGGGGGGGGGUUCUGCCAUUUUCCUAAUAGGAAGAAGCACACAAGCUGGGCAUCACAAGCAAGGCAAAAAUUGCGGAUAGAAAUAAUCUUUCACCCCAUCCAGUCUUCCAGAAGCUAUCAUGUCUCAAAGAAAUAGGGGCAGCCCAAAAAAAUAAGGUGCAGUCUGAAGAGGCAGUGAGCCAAAGUAUGGAGCAGGUGGAGGUGGAGGUGGAGGAAGAGGAAGAAUCUCCUGCUAUACUCGAGGCCUCCCAGAACAGACGACCCAUAGAGCCUGAACCACAAUCUGAUCCUUUGCCAAGAGGUGUUACAGCAGCCUCUAAGAAAAAUCAAGGACUUGGUUGUGGUUCCCAGGGGAGAAGGAGGCGCAUAACUGAUUAGCAGGGUGAUCCUGUCCUAAUCAUGGACAGUGAAAAACUGAUAUCCUUAAUAGAGGAACGCCCUGCUCUUGGGAAUGCAUCCGAUCCCCUACAUGCUGGGAAGACCUACAGCAAGGCUCUAUGGGAAGAAGUCUAUGCACAAGUGUCCAACCUGGGAGGACCUUGCAAUUCAUGUGAAAAAUGCAAUAGGUAGAAUUUGAUUUAUUUAAAAUAAAUUGA